AGCUUUGCGCAGUGGCAGUAUCGUAGCCAAUGAGGUUUAUCCAAGGCGCGAUUAUUGCUAAUUGUUCUGUGUAUUUAAGAGUCUCUUGGGGCGCCUGGGUGGCUUAGUCGGUUAAGCGUCCGACUUUCGCUUGGGUCACGAUC